rnacentral:rRNA from 1 species
UACAGAGGGGGCAAGCGUUAUUCGGAAUUAUUGGGCGUAAAGGGCGCGUAGGCGGCUUUGCAAGUGGCGGGUGAAAUCCCUCGGCUUAACCGAGGAACUGCCUGCCAGACUGUGAGGCUUGAGACCGGGGAGAGGUGAGUGGAAUUCCCAGUGUAGCGGUGAAAUGCGUAGAUAUUGGGAGGAACACCAGUGGCGAAGGCGGCUCACUGGACCGGAACUGACGCUGAGGCGCGAAAGCGUGGGGGAGCAAACAGGG